rnacentral:rRNA from 1 species
GACGAACGCUGGCGGCGUGCUUAAUACAUGCAAGUCGAACGGAAAGGCGGUGCUUUUGUGGGGUGCUAGUGUGGCGAGCGGGUGUGUAACAUGUGUGUCAUCUGCCUUUGACUGGGGGAGACUUUCGGAAAAGAGGGGAAACCCCCGGAAAGUCCCACCACCUCAUUGUGGGGGGUUGAAAAAUUUGGAGGAUGGGGAUGGGCUUGCGGAAGAUUAGCUUGAUGGCGGGGUAACGGCCUACCAAGGCGUCGACGGGUAGGCGGCCUGAGAGGGUGACCGGCAACAUUGGGACUGAGCUACGGCCCGGACUCCUAAGGGAGGCAGCAGUAGGGGAUAAUGCAUGAAGGGCGGAAGCCGGAUGCAGGAACGCCGCGUGCGGGAUGGCGGCCUUCGGGUUGUAAGCCACUUUCGCCUGUAACGAAGCGUGAGUGACGGUACUGGAUAAAGAAGCACCGGCUAACUACGUG